GGGGACGAGGAGAAGGAUUUUGGGGAAGAUGAUUGAACCUCUAAAUUUUGUGGAUAAGAAUUUUUUUAAUUUGGGAUAAUUUUUAAUUUUUUAGGAGAAGGAUUAACAGUAAAUUUUUGUUUGUUUGCUUUUGUUAUUUUAGAAUUUUCUAUGUAGGAACCUCACAUGAAGAAACACAACAAUCCUGAACUUUCGACGAUCAAAGGAGAAG
rnacentral:lncRNA from 1 species